UCCGGGGAUAACAGGCUGAUCUCUCCCAAGAGUUCACAUCGACGGGGAGGUUUGGCACCUCGAUGUCGGCUCAUCACAUCCUGGGGCUGAAGGAGGUCCCAAGGGUUUGGCUGUUCGCCAAUUAAAGCGGUACGUGAGCUGGGUUUAGACCGUCGUGAGACAGGUCGGUCCCUAUCUGGUGUGGGUGUAGGAUGAUUGCGGAGGUUUUCCCCUAGUACGAGAGGAUUGGGGAGGACGACCCUCUGGUGUUCCAGUUAUCACGCUAGUGGUACCGCUGGGUAGCUACGGUCGGAACGGAUAAGCGCUGAAUGCAUCUAAGCGCGAAGCCUUCUCCAAGACGAGUCAUCCCUAUCAGUCCCCUGGAAGACUACCAGGUUGAUAGGCCGGCGGUGUAAGCACAGCAAUGUGUUCAGCUUACCGGUACUAAUCGGACGACUGGCUUAACCACCUUCUUC
rnacentral:rRNA from 1 species